AUUGAACGCUAGCGGCAUGCCUUACACAUGCAAGUCGAACGGCAGCAUGAUCUAGCUUGCUAGAUUGAUGGCGAGUGGCGAACGGGUGAGUAAUACAUCGGAACGUGCCCUGUAGUGGGGAAUAACUAGUCGAAAGAUUAGCUAAUACCGCAUACGACCUGAGGGUGAAAGUGGGGGACCGCAAGGCCUCAUGCUGUACGGGCGGUCGAUGUCUGAUUAGCUAGUUGGUGAGGUAAAGGCUCACCAAGGCGACGGUCAGUAGCUGGUCUGAGAGGACGAUCAGCCACACUGGGACUGAGACACGGCCCAGACUCCUACGGGAGGCAGCAGUGGGGAAUUUUGGACAAUGGGGGCAACCCUGAUCCAGCAAUGCCGCGUGUGUGAAGAAGGCCUUCGGGUUGUAAAGCACUUUUGUCCGGAAAGAAAUCGCACUUACUAAUAUUAGGUGUGGAUGACGGUACCGGAAGAAUAAGGACCGGCUAACUACGUGCCAGCAGCCGCCGUAAUAC
rnacentral:rRNA from 1 species